rnacentral:lncRNA from 13 species
ACACAAAUAGCAACCACCACUGCAGAGCCUGCCAUAUUACAUUCUGGAGUGGCGGAAGUCCAGCACGUGCAGCCCAUCAAGCGGCGCAAAGGUUUGGCUGGCCGUGCCAGGAGCUGGUUAAAAAAAAAAUGGAGGCAUAAGAAAAUUUGCCCCAUUGAAAAUGAAGCUCCUGUUGAAGAACCAAAGGAGUGCAAAACUCUUUUUCACCUGACAUCACCUGAUCAUGAGACAUCACCUGACAUAGAAAAUGCUACAGAUGAAUAUCAACACACUCCUGUUGAUGACUCAGAGGAGUGUACACAUGGCAGUAAGAAGAAAGAGGUUGCCUCUGACAUGGAGAAGCCUGCAGCCCAGUAUCACAACCGUCCUGCUAAGGUCUUACAAGACCUUAUCAUAGAAGACAUUGAGGAUGAUGAGCUGUUCCCUGAUGUGGAGAAGCCAGCGGCCCAGUAUCACCACCGUCCUGCUAAGGUCUUACAAGACCUCAUCAUAGAAGACAUUGAGGAUGAUGAGCUGUUCCCUGAUGUGGAGAAGCCAGCGGCCCAGUAUCACCACCGUACGUAUUCUGUUUCUCUUAAACAGUUACCGAGACAUAGUUGACAUGCAAACCAAUUCACCCAUUUAAAGUAGGCGAUUCAGUGUUUUCACUAUAUUUACAGGGUUGUGCAAUGCAACCAUUAUUAGAAUCUAAUUUUAGAAGCUCCUGGUUCCCUCUCAGAAAACCCCCUUAGUAGUGACUCCUCUGUUUUCCCCAACCCCCCACACCCCUGGUUCUAGGCAGCCCUAAUCUACUUCCUGUUUCUAUAGUACACUGCCUUUCGGCAUUAACUGGUUCUUCAAAUGACGAUUUCACAUUGAUGAGGUUGCCCUAGCUAGGAAGCCAAGGCUCUUUCUUUCUGCCCCUCUUUUUUUCCUUCCUUCAGCACCAAGGAGAAUGGUCCAGCAGCAGCUCGGUUCAUGCUUGUCAAAUGCCCAGCUCCAUACACUGCAGCCCGGUCCACAUUUCCCAAAGCUCCUUGUGAGAUUCCUCAGCAGCACCAGUGCACUGACUGUCACUCUGUGUCCUCUUAGGUCCUGCUAAGGUCUUACAAGACCUCAUCAUAGAAGACAUUGAGGAUGAUGAGCUGUUCCCUGAUGUGGUAAGAUGCAUUUCUUUGUCUCAAAGAGAAAUUUUUAUUUCUGGGGCC